CCUGGCUAGGACGAACGCUGGCGGCGUGCCUAACACAUGCAAGUCGAACGGACGAGGGGAGCUUGCUCCCCAAGUUAGUGGCGGACGGGUGAGUAACACGUGAGCAACCUGCCCUUCGGAGGGGGACAACAGCUGGAAACGGCUGCUAAUACCGCAUGAUACAGCGGGGAGGCAUCUCCCUGCUGUCAAAGAUUUAUCGCCGAAGGAUGGGCUCGCGUCUGAUUAGAUAGUUGGCGGGGUAACGGCCCACCAAGUCGACGAUCAGUAGCCGGACUGAGAGGUUGAACGGCCACAUUGGGACUGAGAUACGGCCCAGACUCCUACGGGAGGCAGCAGUGGGGAAUAUUGGGCAAUGGGGGGCAACCCUGACCCAGCAACGCCGCGUGAAGGAAGAAGGCUUUCGGGUUGUAAACUUCUUUGACGAGGGACGAUAGUGACGGUACCUCGAAAACAAGCCACGGCUAACUACGUGCCAGCAGCGGC
rnacentral:rRNA from 1 species